rnacentral:tRNA from 1 species
GCACUGGUAGUUCAGCAGUAGAAUUCUCACCUUUUAUGCGGAAGGCCCGGUUCGAUUCUCGGCCAAUGCG